rnacentral:rRNA from 1 species
AUUGAACGCUGGCGGCAGGCCUAACACAUGCAAGUCGAACGAGUGGCGGACGGGUGAGUAAUGUAUGGGAAACUGCCUGAUGGAGGGGGAUAACUACUGGAAACGGUUGCUAAUACCGCAUACCAUCAGAUGUGCCGAGAUGGGAUUAGCUAGUUGGUGGGGUAAAGGCUCACCAAGGCCCCGAUCCCUAGCUGGUGUGAGAGGAUGACCAGCCACACUGGGACUGAGACACGGUCCAGACUCCUACGGGAGGCAGCAGUGGGGAAUAUUGGACAAUGGGGGCAAGCCUGAUUCAGCCAUGCCGCGUGUAUGAAGGAGGCCUUCGGGUUGUAAAGGACUUUCAGCGGGGAAGCGUUACCCGCAGAAGAAGCACCGGCUAACUCCGUGCCAGCAGCCGCGGUAAUUC